UCUUUGCAUUCAAAUUAUUUAAACACGUAUAUCACCAAUCAAUUUCAUCACAUAUCUAUAAUUUCACUCAAGCAUAAUCUCAAUACAAUACAUCAUGCUCAAUGAUUCGCACACAACCGUUCAAAUUAGCAAUUAUAAGAUGAUUCCGCACAUAGUCCACCCUUAUCGAUAAUUUACGAUGGUUUUGCCCUUACUCACAUAUAUGACAUAGGAAUUUUCACCUAUGCUUCUCAUUUCACAUUCAUGAUUCAAUUCCAAUCGAUCUAACAUGCAUAAGAAUAUAUCACAUACCUGGCCAACUUAAUGCAUUGAACAAAUUCAAUUGUCGAUUUAACACAAGGUCUCAUAGUCUUAGACUUUUAUCAAAUCACCGGCAUUUAGCCUGCUAGGUUUUAACCCGAUAAUAUUAUUCACCAGCUUAAAACUUGCUAGGCUCAAAGCCCAAAUAUCACCAUUAUAAAGUCGUCUCAUAAACAAUUCAUAUAAUAUAGCAUGUAUACCUGUUCACUUUGCUCUAUUUAAUCAUUCAAUCACAAUUUAUAAU
rnacentral:lncRNA from 1 species